UACGUAGGUGACAAGCGUUAUCCGGAUUUAUUGGGCGUAAAGCGCACGCAGGCGGCUGAUUAAGUCUGACGUGAAAUCUCCCGGCUUAACCGGGAGCGGUCGUUGGAAACUAAUCGGCUCGAGGCGAUGAGAGGGGUGUGGAAUUCCCGGUGUAGUGGUGGAAUGCGUAGAUAUCGGGGGGAACAUCAGUGGCGAAAGCGGCACCCUGGCAUUUGCCCGACGCUCAUGUGCGAAAGCGUGGGGAGCGAACGGG
rnacentral:rRNA from 1 species